CAGCCGCCACGGGAAUACGUAGGUGGCAAGCGUUGUCCGGUAUUAUUGGGCGUAAAGGGCUCGCAGGCGGUUUCUUAAGUCUGAUGUGAAAGCCCCCGGCUCAACCGGGGAGGGUCAUUGGAAACUGGGAAACUUGAGUGCAGAAGAGGAGAGUGGAAUUCCACGUGUAGCGGUGAAAUGCGUAGAGAUGUGGAGGAACACCAGUGGCGAAGGCGACUCUCUGGUCUGUAACUGACGCUGAGGAGCGAAAGCGUGGGGAGCGAACAGGAUUAGAUACCCGAGUAGUCCCUGUCUCUUAUAC
rnacentral:rRNA from 1 species